rnacentral:lncRNA from 1 species
AAUAAAAAUAAAAAAAAACGUGGGAGAGUAUUUCUGUUUAAGCAUUCCGUGAUAAUAAAAACAGUUCAUAAGGUAAGGCACAUCAAACAGUAAAUAAAAGUGAGUGGGCAUCAUACAACCCAAAAUAGAACAAAAAAAUUUAAGAGAUAAUGGAAUGUAGCAAUCACUCAUUACACUGAGAAUUAUCUAAAAUUAUCGCCAUCAUUGCAUAAUUGUCAUAAAACACCAACAGCCAUGUCACCUAUAAAAUGAAAAACACAUUUUCUUUGUCGCAAAACCAGUGAGUGCAGGGUGUUUCUGCCCGCACAAGGAGACGAUGAAUUUCUUGUAUAGCAGCAACAUAUUCAUAUUCAUAUUAAUAUAUAUAUUUGUCUAUAGACGGGGCACGGUGAAUCGACAACUACCGCCUCAAGCUCUCCACGAUGUAGUCCGCGUAGAGAUUCCUUCAAAACAGAAUGUUGAAAUAAAAUUAGAUCUCUAUUUUGAAACUGUUAACAGAGCAUAAAUGAAUUUGGACACAAGCAAAAGUCUCCGAAAAGAAAGAAUCACAAGCUGUAAAGCAACCCCACUUAAAUCUUUAGUGUUUUUCUUCCUUUUCCUUAAGCUGAAAGCUCUAUUAGACUUGCAUUUGAUUAAUUAUAUGAACGUGAUCUAUACGUAUAUAUUUUCACACUAAGCAUUUGAAAGAAAGUCUGAUAUAAGUAACAAGUUUUUCUUUUGCCUGUAUCAGUAUUAUAUUAAUAUAUGUUGCAAUGUCAUUAUCGUAUUUAAGAUAUUUUAUAUUUUUAUAAAAUUUAAUAUAUUCACAAUUCAUAUUGAAAGGAUUCUGAGAUUCAUGUAUUUGUCAUGUCAUAUUCUGCAUCGAGUUUUUUAAUUAUUUUUUUGUGAUAUUUCCAGACUUGGAUUGGAGACAGGAAACUAUAACUUACAAGGAGUGUUGGAUUGCCUCGUAUGCAGUAGAGGCAGGCAGAAAGUCAUUAACAGCAACUUCUUUGUUCUCAUUCUUCUUAUCUGCGGUAUUUAACAAGGCAAAAGAAAGUUAAUAGGCUUCAACUAAUGGACCGGUCUAAAAAACAUAUCAUAUCCUUCAGAAGUUACAUAUAACACUUGCUUUACUAGAAAGCAUAAUUUAAUUAUAGCCAAGAAAGAUACAUACAGUCUUCAAAGAAGCGACGGAUUUCAGCCAGGCGGUGAGGUGGGAGUUCCUUGAUAUCAUUGUAGUGACGAUACUCAGGAUCAUCGGCACAGACAGCAAUAAUCUUGUCAUCUUUCUCACCCUGCAUUCAUAAAAUUCCAAAGUUUUCCUCGUUUGCUUUUAUACACAUCCAUUGGUCAGCAGUAUUUUAAUCAGUGGACAGUGGUUAAUCAGUACCUGAUCAAUCAUAGGCAUCAGACCUAUAGCUUUAGCGCGAAGAAAGCAUCCUGGAAUAACUGGUUCCUGUAUAAGUUUUAAUGGUAACAUAAGUGAUAACAUAAAAUUUUUAGAGCUCUUAUCAAUUAUGAUUUAUAAGUAUUGCAUGUGGCAUUGGCCGAUGUAUGGAAUUUAUAAUACUGUGCCAAACAUAGUGCACUAGGCAAACCGAGCCAUUACAAGAGAGUUCCAAAGCAUGAAACAUGCUUCACAACCAUGAAUUAGAUUGAUAUUUUAGAUACAGAUGUGGAUCAAAAAGUGUACCUGCAUAAUGAUCAAGACAUCCAUGGGAUCAUUGUCUUCACAAAGAGUACGAGGGAUGAAUCCGUAGUUGUGAGGAUACACAACUGAUGAGUAAAGCACUCGAUCAACCUUCAAAAUUAUGCACCUUUAUCAGCAACCAAUUAAAUUCUACAAAGAGUGGCAAAUACAUUUGGACAGUUAAUAGUAAUUACCAUGAUCAGACCAGUUUUCUUGUCAAGUUCAUAUUUCACCUUGCUACCUUUUGGGAUUUCAAUCACCUGUAGAUAUUAACCACGUCUUCAGUACAAGUAUAAAGAGCUCUGAAAUGUAAAAAAUUCUCAAACAUGAUAACUGAGAAAUACGGCCAUGAGAAAAAGAUUUAAAAUGCCAAAUGUCUAUAAGAAAUGUGUUAGGAGACAACCAAACACCUACUUAUUGUAGAACUCUACAAAAGCAUUUUAUUAAAUGUCAAACGUGCCAUCCAAAAUGUAAUGCUAAUGGUUAGGGGAAGGUAAAUUUUAGUACACUUACACAGUUGAAAACCAUUGGAGCUCCAGGUCCUACAAGAAAAUUUUUACAAAUAGUAGAAAAAAAGUACAUUAUUAGAUUUACAACAUACCAACAGAAAACACACACACUGAGCUUAAGUUGACAUUCAUACCAAUCUCAAGAUCAUGCCAUGGGUGAGCAGCAACAGACCUUCUGCUCAUUGAUGAAAGAAUCCUUUCAUUCAAAGGAGGAUGUGAUGCGUGGUGAGAGCCAGAGGACUUGGUCGGAGUCUCAAUUGGUGGUGCCAUCUCUGUGAGUUACAAACAAUGUAUCAAUAACUACUAUAAAAAGUUCAUGAAAGGAUUACAGUUCCAUAUAAAAUUCUCAAGAUUAAAUGCUGAAAGUCCCAUUGAUCUGUUACAUUUCUUUUUCUUUUAAUUUAUAGAUCAUAUUGCUUAACCAAAAUAAGCAUCUAAAACAAGAAAUUUUUCGCCCAGGCAUUGGCCUUCUCUUUCAUAAAACUUGAAUUUCUUUUAACGCGGAGCUUUUCUGCUUGGCAAGCUAAAGGUUUUUCUUAGCAGCAGAUUAUUAUGAUAAAGGACAAGAAGCAAACAUAUCAAGGCAAAACUCUCAAGAACCUAAAAGUAAAUUGGGAAAAUAUACCAAAUAACUUAACUUAUUAAAAAUUUUCCUCAUCUCUGUUUCGUAAAAUAAGCAUAGCAGAUAAUUAAAUUUUCUACAACGUUUCCUAGCACAGUAUCUUGCACAGAGAUUACACGGAAAAAAUUUGAGAACCUUGUUUGGAAUUAAAAAAAUGUAGGGGUAUAAAAUAAUAAACACCAGAUCUAUAAAGCUAUUAACAAAUGCUAAAAGGAGGAAAUACAGAACAAAAGUUAAUAUUAAAAAAACGUGAUUUCAGCUCAAGAUCAACUCCAGAUAAAUUUUCAGCAGGAACUUACUAAAAAAGAAAAAGAAAAACAACUGAUCUCCGAUAAUUUUAAAGCAAAAGAAUAAAGGAAAAAUACGCAUUUCUUCCAUGCUGCAGCCUAAACACAAGUUACAACUUACAACUAGAGGAAGCAAUCAGAUCCAGCAAUAGAGCAUAAACGAGGAGAAACGGAGCUUAAAAACGAAAAUUAAAGAUCUAAAACGUUGAAAAAUGCAUUUUAAACGUACCUUCAGCGGUUUCCUGUUCUUAAGAAAAUAAAGCUUUCAAGAAGCUAAUUGAAAAGAAGAAAACGCACAGAUCUCGAAAAACAAAGAGAGCAAGCAAAAAAGAGAAAGGUUAAAAGAGAGGUAAUGAUAAGAACGAAUUAAAACCCUAUAGAAACACUUAAGGUGGAGCAAAGAAAAGCUUGAUGCCUUCUCGCUCUCUUUCCUCGUUAGAAUUUAAAGGCAACCCCCCGCUCGAUACCAUAGGGAGGAGAAGUAAUAAAAAAAAAGUGUAAAUUAAAAAAUAUAAAAAACGUAAAAUGAAUAAAUAAAUAAACAAAAAGAGGGAAAUUCCUUACGUUUCAUACGGCGCGGAGAGAGAAAAAAAAAUGUGAACCGCCGAUACUCUGCGGAGGCGAAUAAAUCGUGGCACGUCGUCUGGUGAUGAGGGAAAAAUAGUAUGGGGCCCACUUAGCUCACAACGUUCCAUAAUUAAUAAGUCAUGGAUAAUUAUAAUUUUAUAAGAAAAAAAAGUAUUGUAGGUAAAAUGGUAUAAGGGGAGCUAAAAAACUUUUCAAGUUUAAAAUUAAAUUGUAUAUUUCUAUCAUAAUAUAAAUAAAAAUAUACUUCCAUUAUUUAGUAAUUUUUUAUAAUUUUUGAAAGAUUAAAUUAUUUUUUUUAUUUUUGAGAUUAAAAUAUAAUUUUAUUAUUAUUAAUCUAAAAUUUUAUAAAUUAUAAAGAAUUUAAAUGAAAAAUCUUCUAUUUUAAGGAAUAAAACCCCUGCUAACUUUUGAUUCUGCCAUUAUAUGUACACGUGAUGUUUUACCCUUAAGUCAUAUUUCUAAAUUUAUAUUUUUAAAAAUUAGUAUAAAUAUAAUAAAGUUAUAGAAUAAUUGAAAUUUUAUCCGACUAUUUAAUAUAUAUAUAUAUUAGAUUUGUCAUAUUAUAUGUACAAUAAUUAUUUUAAAAAAUUCAAAACUAUUUAUUUGAAAAUUGGGCCAUUUUGUGAUUGAAAGCUAAGGGGUCUCGGUCAGGGCGUCUUCUUUGAUUCUCCGAAAUGGUUGGGUACUACUACGAAUGACAUUGGAGAUAUUACUAUAAAUGUGGUGUGUGGUAGCCACCUGUCUUCUGUUAUGAUUUUUUUUUAAAUAAUUACGAACUCGUUGGUUCAGUUUAUUCUAUUAUUCAAAAAUUCGAAAUCAGUACAAUAUAACAAUCUCUCUUAUCCUUAAAAUCUUUUCCUUUUAAUUAUAACAUUCACAAUAAAAUUAUGGAGUAUGGAAAAAAAAAGUUGAGAGAAUGUCGGUGUAGAAGGAAACGAGGUGGUAACGUCUGAAUGAAAAAAAAAAAAACAAUGUGUAGAAAAGGUAUGUUGAAAGCAAAGCUAGCCCGAAAUGAAUGGAAAGAGCGUGAAGAAAGAAAUCUUGAAUGUGGUGGUGCUGAUACGUGAUGGUGUUGGAGCAUUAUAGGAUUGGAGAAAAGCCCUUAUCCCCUGGCUGGCUGGCGAAGCACAUGUCGGUUGACUUCUUUCCCAUAUAACUACCAUUCAAAUAAAAUAAAAGCACAUAGCUGACGUUAAUCUAAUCCUAGUCCUAUAUAUCCUGCCAACUACACGGUUUGAAUUUUAAUUGCUACAUUGACGCAGGCAACGGGACAAAAAGUAACGUAUGACCGACGAAGUCAAGUAUUGGAGUCGUCUUUCAUUCUUCAACCCUACCAGUAAUUGGCGCAGUGAUUUGUUGAAUUCUUAACAUUUGGCGUAAUUCCUUUUUUCUUUUUCCUUUUAAAAUCAGUUUCAUGCUUAUUUAAUCAGCACCCAUUUGCCAUAUGUUUGAAUGUUUCCGAUCCUCCUUCAAAGAAAAAGAAAAAGAAUGUUUCCGAUCCAUUUGCCAUUUGGACCAUGUUGUUCCCUCCAAUUCUGCCCAAUGUCUAUGUUUUCCUUUUACUUUUUCUUUAUUAGCCAUAAAAAAUUAGUACGUUGAAAUUAUCUCAUUUUUUUAAACAGUAUAAAUUUUCAAAAAUGAAAAAAACAAAAAGUUUUUAAAGAAUAUAUAUCUUUUGUAACUUUUCAAAAUUUUGAAAAUUUCCACUAUAGGUCAAUUUUUACAAAUAUUAUUUUAAGUGGUAUUCACAUAAAACCCUUUUAAUAAAAAUAACUUUAAAAUUUAAAUUUAAUCUAAAUGAACAAAAUUUAUUUGUUGAUAUUUUGAGAAAGAAACAAUAACUUCCUAAAAUACUUAUUCUCAAAUGAUCAGUUAGCUAGUCGUUGAGAUUUGGGCAUAUCUUGAGACAAUAUUUAAUUUCCAUUUUUUUCUUUAUAAUUGUUUUCUUUUCUUUUACUUGUGAACAGAAAGGUUGAUAACGAUACUCGAUCUGUAUGCACGAUUAUUUUUUGCGUGACUUGGUACCAAUAAAUGUAUUGAAUAAUAGCAGAAGAUAAGGCAUUUAACAACCGACGGUGUAUGGAAUAAUAAUACCAAUAACACUAAAAGUGUAAAAUGCUUAACUUUUUUUUUUCAUUAAUUACUGAAAUUAGAUGCUUUAAUACAGUUCAUUAAGCUGCUACGCCUGAAAAUAUAUCAAUAGUUAGAUAAAUCACGUAUAAAAUAUGUUAUUUAAUAAUUUUCUUUGCUGUUAGGAGUAAUAAUCACAAAUUUCAAACAAAUAUUAUAUAAUUAAUAUGAAAAUUUUAAAAAAAAAUCUAGAAGCUUAACUUGAUUUGCAUCUUAUAAUAUAUAAAUGAGAUAAAUGAAAUCCAAAAUAAAAUUAGAUAGUUAUAUUAUUUAGAUUGAACUAUCAUUUUUCAACUCAAUUUUGAAUAAUUUAAGUUCAAAUUACCGACAAACUAUUAGGUGAGGUGACAACGAUUUUAUUUACAUAAUAAUGAACACUUGAAAAACAAAUUUGUUGCGAAGGAUUUACAUUAAGUUGUUGAUAAUAGAUACCAAAGAGAAAGAAAAGAGGGUGGAAAUAAAGUUCGAUUCCCUCACGUAGGGUGGAGAAUUGGAUGAUAAGUAAGGGAGAAGGAGAAAGAGGAAUAAUUGGGAAAGAAUCGUCAUUCUCUUGUGUGUCUAGGCUUAUAUAGUGGGUUAUCCACUUAUCAUUUGUCUCGUAGUGGUGUUUGGUGGGUUUUAUGGUUUUACGGAUAAGUCAAAAGUUAAAUUCAAAUAUCAAAUGAGAAUUAUUAUUGAAGGUUGGUUUAUCGUUAUGGUACAUGUUGCGUGAUCUUGUCACUGUCAUAGGUUAUCUUACUCUAACACCACCAUAUUUUAAAGUACUGCCAGAUGACAAAUAAGUUUAUUUAUCUUUAAGUAAGAGAUCUCAUUCUCAAAUAAAAGAUUUUAGGUAGAAAAUAUAUUAUGAAAAAUUAUCACGAAAAGUUUAAUGUGGAAUGCUCACAAUUUCACUGCAUGUCUCUUAUGGUAGGGUAUAACAGAUGCUUUGGCUUAACAUAGAUUAAUAUCUAAUACGAUUUGAAAAUACCCUCAGUUAAGAGAAAAAAAAAACUUUAGUUCAUUUAGAGGUGUUCAUGGGCCGGGCUACUCGGCCUGCCCGAAAUGUGAGAGGAUUUGGGCAAAAAUAUAAUCCCAAAAAAUUAGCUUGGACAAAAAAAUACGCCCGUUUAAAAAAUGGACCGGGACUCAGGUAAGAUAUUUUAGCUCGGGCCUGACCCAAAUUCACUAAAGGACAAAAAAAUUCUGUAUUUUUUUUAAUGUUAUUUUCUUGUUGAUUUCUCCCUAUUUUGCUACCAUUUUACUAUUAUGUUGCUACUAUUUUGUUGUUAUUGUUUGGAUAUUAUAUAAAACUUAUUUUCUUAUUAUUUUAAAGGCAUUUGUUAAUUUUUUUAUUAUUUUAGAGACAUUUGUUUGUUAAGUUGCAUCUAUCUUUAGUGUUAUUUAAGUCUAUAUAUUUUUUAAAAUUUAUUUUUAAUUUGUUGGGAAAUAUUUGUUUUGAUAUUUUUAGUAUUUUUGAUGUAUAAUAUAUUUAAAAAUAAUAUAAAAAUUAAUAUGGGCCGGGCUCAGAUUUUAGUAUUUUUAUCCGAGUCGGGCUUGAACAAAAUUUUAGUCCCGUUUUUUGGACCCGACCCGACCUCAAUAAAUAGACAUACUUUUUAAUUGAGCGCAGCCCAAACCCAACCUAGCCCGACUAUGAACACUUCUAAGUUGAUUCGUUUCAUCGGGCUAGCUUUCCAGUUUUGCAAACAUUGGGCAGGGUUCAUUGCCUUGAAAGAGAAUGAGUACCACUACCAAUGCCUAAAUACUAAUGGCAUUUUUCUUUUCAAGAAUAUGUUAUUUGGAAGCUUUUUGACCGAAAACAAUAAUUGUCGGGAAUUUGAUUUUUGAUAUAUAUUUUUUAUUUUAGAACUUUACGAAUUUACUUCCAAACUUCAUUAAGCUGACCAACUAAGCUGCAUUUGGUAAUGAGAAAAACGAGGGGAAGAAAAUAAUUACUGCUUCAUUAGUUUAGGCGUAAAAUUUGAAAAUAAAACCUUUUGAUCACAAAGUAUAAAUAGAUUUAUAAAUUCAAAAUAAUUAAUAUUUUUCACAUAUAUAAAAAGUAAAAAAUCACAAAUAAAUAAUAAUAGAAGUACAAUUAACCUUAUCUACAACAAGCGUUUAAUUGUUAUAUAGAUUUGAUUAUUAUAUACCUAUAAUAACAUUUGAGAUUUAAAUUAUAUUUUUAAAAUUUAAAAUUUAAAAUUAUAAUAUAAUAAUAUCAGUUAAUUAAUAAAUUUUACUGAUUCAAUCUCAUUAGAAUUUUUAAACUCUACAAAUAAAGUUAAGAGUUAACAAAUGUCUUAUACAAAUAUAAUAAUUUAUUAAAAAUAUAUUUUUAAAAAGAAAACAUAUAUAUCAAAAUAAAGUAAAAAUAAAAUCAAAAUCAUAACAAAAUGUUAUUAUAGAAAAUAGACAUCACCAUAUAAAUAUUCGUUUUAUAAUAAGUUUUGUCCAAGGUUCCUUCUCGAUUUAUUAUGUAUCAAGAGGAAAAAAAAAAUACCAGAGCCGAAAACUAGAAAUUAAAAAAAAAAUUAAAACAGAAAAGGCCCAAAAUCCUUGGGGUAAGUGUGUUGACCGGGUUGAUCUUCAAAGCAGAAAGUAUAAUAAAUAAAUAAACCGAAAUAAAAAUAAAACAUCCAAAAAAAAACCCGGUUCAUUUUUUUUUUGUUUUUGCGUUCAAAUUGAUUUAUUGUUAAACAUGUUUAGGUACAAAAUGUUUAUAUUCAAUGUGGUGCAUUUUUUUAUGUUACAAUAUUUAAUUUUAUCAUUAUUUUUUUUAUUUUUAUAUUAACUGUAAAUAAAUACACCACCCAUCUAAAGAAAUCCUUAAUCAAUUAAUUUAAUUUAAUCUCAACAACAUUGAUGGUACUUAUAUAGAGUUAGUUGAUUGACUAUAUAAAAUGAUAUUUAUGUCUUUAUAAUGCAAUAAUAAAUAGCCAUGAGAUUAGAAACUUGUAAGGAAGAAAUAUUUAGGCCACUUUGAUGUAUUUUCUUUUUCUUUUCCUUUUGGCCUUUUUAAUAAAAAAUAAGAACAAAUAACUAAAACAUCAACGAGAAGCUGAGUUAGCAAUAUAUUAAUUAUUUUAAAUAAAUUGAUCAUAUUUGGAGGAAAAUGUCAAACAUUGAAUUGGAAUUUCAAGCUUUUAAAUAAAAUAUACAAAUUAUUAUCUUAAUUACUAUAAUUCAAUAGAAGUGCAAUUUAAAAAAAAAAUUCUUUGUUUGCUGCAUCCUUGCUGUACAUCGCAUGCAUCACCGACGUUUAACUAACAGCUUACGGACCGGAAAGCCCACUCAUUCAUUCUCUUCAACCAGCUAUUUUCUCUUCGUUGACGAAUUAAAAAAGAAGUAAAGAAAAAACCGCCCGUUAGAUUCACACAGAUCUGAACACUAAAUAUUAAUCCAACGGUUGGGACUGCGGAGUCGAAUCCAAUAACUUAUUUCUUGAAUUUAUUCCUCUUUUCUUCAAAAAUUAUUUUCUCCCUAAGAAAAAAAAUUAAACAGCCGACCGGUGCUGACGUACCAGAGACGUUUCACCAGAUCUCACUUUUCUCAUCCCUGAUCUGGUAUUGCGUUCUUUUCAAUUCACCAAAUAAAAUUUAAAAAAGAAAAAACAGUUUAUUUCUUUUAUUUUUUUCCAAUUUUCACAGUGAUUAUUAACGGCGUUUCCUUUUCUGGUGUAGGGUUUAUUCGUUAGUUCCGAUAAAUUUAUUCUAUUCCCAUGGCUGCUCCACCUGCAAGAGCUCGAGCCGAUUAUGACUACCUCAUAAAGCUCCUUUUGAUCGGCGACAGCGGUAACUAUCUCUUUUCCUUCUCUAUAUCUUGAUUUGAGAUGAGAUCUACUGUUUAAUCGACAUUGACUUUGUGAAAUGUAAGGGUUCCUUGAAAGGAUUUGAUGUUUUAUUAAAUUCCUAAAUAUGGAAAACUUAGAUGUGAGAGCUUUCAAGGUCAUUAGCUUAGAUUAGGUUUCAUUUUAGGUUUAUAGAUGAUACGAUAAUUCGGAAAAUUAUUGUUUGUUUCAGUGAUUUUAUGAUGAAUCUAUACCAAUGGCGUCUUAUAUUUUAUGUUGUAGUUUUUAAUGUUUUCUGCCUCAAUAUAGCUAGUUGCCAUGGGAAUGUUCUCGUGUCACUUGGUGGCUACUGAGGAUGGAUGCGAAGGCUGAGAUAGGAAAAGAAGGAUACAAGGUUUAAUAUGUAUAUUUGCAUAAGAGACCUUUCUUAAUACAAGGGAUUGCCUGCUAUAAAUAGUUUUAUUUUAUUUAUUAUUGUAAUUUGGGAUUAAUAGUUCAUACUGUAGCGAUUUUUUAAAGGAGUUCUAUUGAGAACCUGCACUUCCUCAAGAAUUUGAGUUCCAUGUAACUCUGUUAUGCUAUCAUGCUGUUGGGCAGGUGUGGGUAAGAGUUGCCUGCUUUUGCGUUUUUCGGAUGGCUCAUUCACUACAAGUUUUAUCACGACAAUUGGGUAGGUAUUAUCUAAUAACAGUGUAGUGGUAUAUUAUUAUUUCAACAAGGGGCAUGUUGUUUAAUAAGGUUGUGUUUUCUUUGGCAGAAUUGACUUUAAGAUAAGGACCAUAGAGCUUGAUGGAAAAAGGAUCAAGCUGCAAAUUUGGGAUACUGCUGGGCAAGAGAGGUUUCGUACAAUUACAACUGGUUAGAUUUUUGGCUUUGAAGGUGUCACUGACUAGAAAUGAAAUACCCAAUCAGAACAAUUGCUUAUCUGAUAGAUAAAAUAAUUCAAUAGCAGGACUUGGGUAUUGUUUUGCAUAAACCUGUUAUUUGCAAGUGUUGUCCUAUGAUCCGGGUUACAUUAGUUAUCACUCUAAUACUCAAAUUUAAUAACAUCUCUGGAUCAAGGUGGUUGUUGCUUUGCAUUCUCUUUUUUGUGCUUUUCAGUCUGCUAGGAAGUUAGGAGUUUGUAUGCCUCAGUGUUUUGUCUAUCUCAUGCUUGCCAAGCGCCUCCUAUUGUAAUGCUCUAUAAUUAUAGGACAGGACUUGGAAAUAAAAUUACAAAGAAAAAAUGUUUAGGAGUGAAAUUCUUUCAGUCCUCUAGAGGCAUAGCUGUUAUUAUUAUCUUUGUGGGUGUUUGGAAAUUUCACAUCUAGAUAAUUUUCUCUUUGUUCCAUGCCCCAAACGUGGUUCCUUGCUCUUUGUUUCCCCUAGAAACAAAAGUUAUCUUAGUUUUACCCUUUUGGGCAGGCUUUGGUGGCUCUAAGUGCCUACUUUCCUAAUACAUCUGGAUUUUAUUGUAUUCUGAAGUCUUUUCUUGUUGACAGAGAACUAAAGUAAUAUCUCUUUUUGUGCAGCUUACUACCGUGGAGCCAUGGGCAUAUUGCUUGUGUAUGACGUGACUGAUGAAUCAUCUUUCAAUAGUAAUUACUGAACUUUUUGUCAUUUGAACUUUGGACUUUAUUCACAUGAUUCAUCUUAACCAAAUUUUUAAUAUUUAGAAAUGUUUUCCACCUAAUUUGCUUGUUACUGGAACUUGGAAGUAUACUUCUUAUCCAUUGGUUUGAAAUUUUAGUCCUUAAUUUUCCUAUCAACUCGGCUAAUGUUAAUUUUUUCUUAGACAUUAGAAACUGGAUUCGAAAUAUUGAACAGCAUGCUUCAGACAAUGUGAACAAGAUUCUAGUGGGUAAUAAGGCUGACAUGGAUGAAAGUAAAAGGGUCUGUUCUUUCCCUCUCGUACUUUGUGCAUCUUUAUAUGCAUUUUUGUUUACCCCUUUGUUUACUAUAUUGGAUAUUUUUCUUAAGUCUAUCGAGGAACUUCUUUUUCAGGCUGUCCCUACCUCAAAGGGCCAAGCUCUUGCUGACGAAUAUGGCAUCAAGUUCUUUGAGACUGUAUGUAAUUUUUGCUGCAGAUGCUGUAAUUACUUUUGUAGUUGAUAUUUCUAUAUGCUUAAGACUUACUCUAUCUUGCAGAGUGCAAAAACAAACUUAAAUGUCGAGGAGGUUUUCUUUUCAAUAGCCAGGGACAUCAAGCAAAGACUUGCUGACACUGACUCAAAGGCUGAGGUAUGGAUUCUUGUGCUCGAACUAUCAACUUUUCUCGUAACAUAUAUGCAGUACUUUUGAUAAUUGUGCAAAUCCUUCUUUAACACACGUCUCUUGUGAUAACUAUUCUAAUUAAUUUACAUAUAUGGUUAUCUUUUUAUUAACUUUUUCUGGGUCUUUACAGCCACAGGCAAUCAAAAUUAACCAACAAGACCAGGGAGCUGGGGCUGCGGCAGCUGCUCAAAAAUCAUCUUGCUGUGGAGCUUGAACAAACUACAUUGCGGAUGAGAUCUGAAGGGUACAUUUUCUUCUCUAUGGUGCCAUUUUGAUCCUGGGAAAACUAAUUUGUUACAACUAUUUUGUUUAUAUUCUCCUGCAUAUCAUUAUUUUACAGCUGCUACUGUCUGGUGUGAAAUGUUAUUAGAUCUUGGUAUUUUGCAAUAUUAAUUAUAUUAGAUCAUUUGUUUAAAUAACGUGCUUGAAGGCAAAUCUACCUACCAUUUUGGUGUUCGGAAUUUGAAACUAAGAACAGCCCUGGUAAAUUGGUGAACCACAUGAAAUCGUGCCAAGAAUUGGAGUAUAAUUGAAUCAAUAGAUUUGUGAAGUUUAUGUCUCCAAAAUGAAAGGAUCGUGUUCAAGCUAAUCCUUUACCUCUCCUCUUAUCUGGACAGAGUUAAAACCCAGAUUACGAUCGAUUGAUUUCCCCCUUGAAAAAGUUCUCGUUCGAUAGAUAGGUAAGAAUAAGCCUUAGACCCAAGUAAACUCGCUUAGCCUCGAUUGAUUUAUGCCCUUAACCGUGGUUAUCCCAAAUAUACAUUGUUAAUGAUGAUGGGAUUGAGGAGGAUGGUAGGCUUCUUGGCCUAACUAACAUUUAACAUUGCAAUGAUGGGAUGGAAUGUACUUUGUUAUACUGCAUUGCCUAAUCACCUGGAAAUGCUGCUUUAUUUUUUUGGUAGGUAGCAUCAUUGUUUGUUACAACUGACUACUAGAUUUACAAAGACGUAUUUCUGAUAUCGCAAACAAUGCGGGCAUUUGGAUGAGUCGUGUUCUCAUGUUUAUCUUGAUUCGUUUCAACUGCUAUAUAUUUUUAUUCCUCAACUUGCUCAAUAAAGCUUAACAGAAUCAAAAUUGAUUAGUUGGUAAUUAUUAGCCAAUACUGAAUAAUCACAACUGAGUCAAAUUGAUGAACAGGCGGCGCCACUAUAUCCGAAUUAAUCACAAUUAAAAUAAUGGUUAUGGAACAACAGGGUAUGUCAGGCCGCUUUAUUUUUUUCCUCUUUAUCUCUGGUUUCCGAGGUAUCUUUUUCGGCUCCCUUACGAGAAAAGUAAGACUUAUUGGAAAUUAUGAGUACCCAACUGAGGGGAAUCUCUUUUUAAUAGUAAUGCAAUAAUGCAAUGCAGACAGGGAAUCUCUUUUUAAUAGAAAAGUCUUUAAACAAUAACUUUUGGGACAGAAAAAAUAAUAAUGCCUAUGUACUUAAAAAAAAAAAGAAAAAGAAAUUACAAUAUGUUCCAUAUUUUAAUAAAAUAAAAACUCGUUUAAAAAUAAUUCAACGAGGUAGAGGCAGCCAUUCAAUGGACAAGAACCUAACAGCGAUAAAUUUUUGGAUAGUAAAUAGUAUAAAUUUUAAUCAAUGGUCAAGAUAUUCAAUAGUACAAGGACAAUCAAUCCUAAUUUCAUUAGAAAUUUAUAUUAAUUAGUCUCUAAAAGUUCUUACCCAAUCAAGAUAUCAAAAGUGCAUUAACUUUAGCAUAUUAGGAAGAAAUAGAUAGCAUAAAAUUCCUCAUCCUCGUGAGUUCAUCUCCUCGACAAACUUGGCUUAUUUUACAAGUUAAUAUUAUAACAAUUGAAUUGGAGAGUAGAGUCAUUAGGAGGCAGGUGUAAGCCAUUCUUUGCUGCAGUUUUCUUUCAAGUUGGGUUUGCAGUCAUGGAUAUCUUAUCUAAGACUGCAUUAAUCCUGGGGAUGAGCAAUUUACGUACUGGUUGUUUACCGCCAUGCCUUUGCCACCCUUGUUAUGGCUCCUUUCGCUGCUUUUCUUGACAAGUAUAUUCUUCUUCUUCUUCCUCUCUUAAAGUCCAUUCAUGCCCAUUUUACCUUUUUAGCUAUCUACUCCUGUUUUUUGUUUGACAGGAAAAUGAGGCCUAAGAUGACCAUGAGAAUCUUCAUCCAAACAAUCUACUCCUCUGUGUUCAGCCAGAAUGAAAGAGGACAUAAUGGCUACAAUAAUCAUGCAUAGGGGACUAAAAGCUGUCACAAAUACUGGACCUCUGUGUUUCAUUAUCAUCCCUUGAAUGUAAUAAGCAAGUCGUGAACAUACAAUACCCUGCAACCAUGCAAUUUUCAGAUAUUGUGUUAAAAAAUAAAACAAUAUUCGAAUUAUGGCACCAUUAUUUGGAUGAAGAUGGUCAUCUUAGGCCUCAUUUUCCUGUCAAACAAAAAAGAGGAGUAGAUCGUUAAAAAGGUAAAAAUGACAUGAAUGGAGUUUAAGAAAGAAAGAAGAAGAAGAAUAUACUUGUCAAGAAAAGCAGCGAAAGGAGCCAUAACAAGGGUGGCAAUGGCAUGGCGGUAAACAACCAGUACGUAACUGGCUCAUCCCCAGGUUUAAUGCAGUCGUAGAUAAGAUAUUCAUGACUGCAAACUCAACUUGCAAGAAAACUGCAGCAAAGAAUGGCUUAUACGUGCCUCCUAAUGAACCAUCUACUUGGUUCUCCAUUUUGUCCUACGGAUUUAUGACUUCACUCUCCUAUUCAAUUGUUAUAAUAUUAACUUGUAAAAACAGCAAAGUUUAUUGAGGAUAUGAACUCAUGAGGAUGAGGAAUUUUCUGCUAUCUAUUUCCUCCUAUUUAUAUGUUAAAGUUGAUACACUUUUGAUAUCUUGAGUAAUAAUUUUUAGAGACUAAUUAAUAUAAAUCUCUAAUGAAGUUAAAAUUGAUUGUCUUUAUACUAUUGAAUAUCUUGAACAUUGAUAAUAAAUUACAUUACUUAUUAUCUAAAAUUUUAUUUCACUGUUAGGGUCGGGCCCAAACAAGUUUUUUUUUCUAAAAUUGUUUUUUAUUAAUUUUAUUAGAAAUUAUAAACAAUCAAAUAUUUUAUAUUUUCAAAUCUUUUUCAUUUCUCCUAAAAACAUAAAAUAAAAUAUCAGAGGCGAUUUCAGUUUUUUUUCAUAUUUAAAAGCAAACUCCUUUUUAUUAAACCAUUUUUCAGUUUUUUUUAAUGUUUGUUUCAUGUAAAAUAAGAUGGUUAACAUAAAUUUUUUUUCACUCACCGAAAAUAUUUCUUUCUUAUUCCCGUAAAGUAUCUUACUAAUUUUUUUCCCAUAAUAUAUUUUUUUAAACUGAUAAAGCUCUGCUCACUGUAACGCCUCCAUAUCCAACUUAAACAUCCAAUCAAAGCACCGGGAUGUUACAUUCUCUAUUACAUUAUUUAUUUAUUAAAUAUUUUCUUAUAAAUUUUUAGAACUUUUUAAUUUAAUCCCUUUUUGUCAUAAAAGUUCAAUAUUCAUUAAAUUAAUCAUAUUAAAUCAUUUUUUUUCUUGUUACACUUUAAUCACAUAAUUUAUCUCAAUAUCAUGUUUCACAUAUCAAAUUUUUAUGUAUUUCACUUUUAUGAUUUCAUCCACAUAUUUUCUCAAGUUUAACAAUUUAGUCAUUAUCAUCAUAAAAAUUUCAUAUUUUCCCACAAUUGUACUUUUACAGUACUUCAUGCAUAUUUCAUCAUCUCAUAACAUAUUCACUAAGCUUUUAUUAUAAUUUCCUUAUUCACAUAUUAAAUUAUUUAACACUUAAACUUUUGUACAUUUUUCAAUUUAGUUCUUAUUGCCAAGUAAUUUAUUUUUCACCAUAUAAGCACUUUGAUCAAAUAAUUCAUUAUAAUAUCUUAUUCGAGAUAGCAAAUCUUAUUCCACAUAACAAAUUUUUCAUGCAUAUCUUGUUUCACAAAAUUUAUAAUUUAAUCCUUAACAUCAUAAAAAAUUAUUAUUAAUAUUUUUAAAAAACAACUUCUAUAAAAUACUUUUUAGAAAAUCUAUCAAAUAAAGCUUUCCAGAAAUUAUACUUCGGAAACCAUUCUUAAAGAGAUAAACGUAUCCUUAAUGUAAGCAAAGCAAAACACAAAUUUCAAACUGCAAAAAGCAAUACAAAUUUUUGUGUACUCUGAUUUUUCGGUGGAUUGGUUGUCUUGUACCCUCUUUAUCCUCAAGAAGACAAAUUUCAAACUGCAAGAAGCAAUACGAAUUUGCAUAUUUUUCCAACCACUACACUCCAUCUAACAUUUAAAACUUUCACAAAUUUUUCUGUACUCUGAUUUAUGACAUCUUUGCUGCCAUAUAUACACAAUAACAAAACCAUCUCUUUCACCUUUAAUUUUUUUAUUUUCAAUGGCUAUAAUUUGUGGCCCUAACUGUUAAGCUAACCUAGAGAUUAGCCUACAGAGAUAAAACACUACUUUAAGUUUUUAUUUUUUCAUUUCCAAUCUCCUCCUGUAGAGAUAAAACACUACUUUGAGCAGUUCGAUGAUGAAAGGAAGAGAAGGACUACGCUCUUUGGUUUUAUGAGCCACUUGCAUGCUGGAAAUGCUACUGAGUUAUGGUUGAGUAGUGACGGGUUUGCUCUUACUUUAAAAAAAGAAAAAAAAUAAUACAAAAUUAAUUUUGCUCUUACUUGAAAGAGAUUGACGGGUGGACCGAUGGUGACUACCUGACUGGUGAACAAUGAUGGUGGACCGGUGGUGACUGCCUGACUGAUGAACGACGAUGGUGGUGGCUGGUGGGUGUUGGAGUGGAGAAGGCAAAGUUAUUUUGUUAGGGGGGAUUUAGGAACUAGCUGAUAGAAAUUGGGGGCAGUCAACUGAAGAGGAAAAGAAAACUAAGGGUAGGCAAUUAGGAAUUUAAUUUGGUCCCGGCUCAAAAAUUUCUUACAUGAGUCUCGGAUCAUUUUCUAAGAUGACUUAAUUCAUGAGUAGGUUUAUUUCUACUUAAAUAAUAUUUUUAUCUAAAAUUAAAUAAAAUUAAAAAAUAAAUUAGAAAUAAGAAAAAUAACUCCAUGUACAAUUUUUGAGAAAUAUAAAAAAAAUAUUGAGUUAAUAAAUGAAAAAGUUUUAAUUAAAAUAGUUUAUAGGAAAAAAAGUUUAUUUAAAAUAAUGUUAUUUAUUUCAUCUUUUUUAUAUAUUUACUUCUGUGUUUAUUUCAUACAAAACAAUUUUUUAAAGGAAUUAAGACAAUUAUUAGUAGAAAUAAAUCUCAAAAUUACAUAACUUUAAUUUAAAAUGCAAUUUGAUAUAUAAACCUUGGUUUGGUGCAAUUAUAUACAUGGAACUUUAAUUUUAAUUUAAUCAUACAUAUUUAAAGAAAUAAAUACAUCAAUUUAUUUAUAUAUUGGAUUUGUUCAUGUAAUAUAUAAGCAUAAAAUGAUAUUAUAUCAAUAAUUAUGUUCUUAAUUUGUGAGAAUUAGAUCAAAUCAUAAUUUCAUGUAUAAAAUUAUAUAAAAUCAAAUUUUAUGUAUAAAAUUGUAUAUUUGAACAAAGCUUAUGUAUAGAUUUGAGGUUUAUAAAUAUUAUAGGCUUAACUGAAAAAAUAGCCCUUGAACUAUAACAUUUUUGUCAUUUAAGUAUCUAAACUUUUUUUUUUUUCAAAAUGAUACCUAAAUUUUUAAUCUGAUUACUUUCCUUAAAAGAGUUUCCAUCAACCAAUUAAAUUAUGACAUGAGGCAAAAUUUUAAUUAAAAUUAUUUUUUCUUUUCUUUUCUUUUCUCUUCUUCUCUCUAAAAAGAAGAAAAAUGGAGGAGCCGUUGAAAAGAUCCAUGAAUUAUAUUUUUUUCAAAUUAUAUAUAUAUUAUAUAUAUUUCUCAUUUUGAUUAUUUCUUGUAAUGUAUUGAUGGGCGGAAGCUUCCCAACUAGCAAAAGUAACCUAAUGCCAUGGGCGUUAAUUGAAUAACAAAAGGGCUUGAAUACCAUUUUUUUUUCUUAUUUUCAAGCAUAAACUAAUUUUUAAGCAUGAAUCCAAUGACUGAUUCUGUCGUUUAAUUUUUAUUUUAGGUAAUAAAUACUUAGUUUCUUGUUCUUAAUUAUGUGUGUUUAAUUUUUACUUUAAUAUUUCUAAACUAUUGAUCUGCAUUUGGUGUGUUUAAAUCGAAGGUUGAAUAGAUCCUGUUUAAGAGUAGAUUUUACGUAAUUGAGUAGAGUUGCAUAUAAUCCUAGAAAUAAGACGACAUAAAUCUAGUGAAUUAGAGACAAAUCUAAUAGGGGGAUUUAUAGUACGAAUUAAUGUGAUAAUAGGGAUUUUAAUUAGAAAAAAAUUUAAAUUAAUUAACCUAGAGUCAGUUGCUCUGAUGCUCGAAAGAGAUAUUUGGAUAAUUUAAAGAUUUCUACGGAUCAAAUUACUAAGUAAAUAAAUUGCAUAAUUUAGAUUAAUAGUGAUAGAUGAAAUCUAGGUGAAUUUUUUCUUGGAUAUUAUUUUGCUUCUUAAUUGUUAAUCGAUUAUUUUCCUGUUUUGUUCUUUACCUUUUUCGCUAGUUAAUUAAUUUAGUUGAAUUUAGUUUUUAAUGUAUCACUUGAAUUUAUCAGUUAAAUAAUAGAAAUAUAAUAAUUAUUAGUACUUUUAGUUUUCAAGAUAUCCUUGAUAGAUGCAUUUAACUUAGCCAAAUUUUUAGUUAGUUUAUGAUGCAUUGGUCCAGGUAAAGUUAUUUCUUUUGUUUAUUGACUGCGUUCUGUUUAAGUUUGUUUGANNNNNNNNNNNNNNNNNNNNNNNNNNNNNNNNNNNNNNNNNNNNNNNNNNNNNNNNNNNNNNNNNNNNNNNNNNNNNNNNNNNNNNNNNNNNNNNNNNNNNNNNNNNNNNNNNNNNNNNNNNNNNNNNNNNNNNNNNNNNNNNNNNNNNNNNNNNNNNNNNNNNNNNNNNNNNNNNNNNNNNNNNNNNNNNNNNNNNNNNNNNNNNNNNNNNNNNNNNNNNNNNNNNNNNNNNNNNNNNNNNNNNNNNNNNNNNNNNNNNNNNNNNNNNNNNNNNNNNNNNNNNNNNNNNNNNNNNNNNNNNNNNNNNNNNNNNNNNNNNNNNNNNNNNNNNNNNNNNNNNNNNNNNNNNNNNNNNNNNNNNNNNNNNNNNNNNNNNNNNNNNNNNNNNNNNNNNNNNNNNNNNNNNNNNNNNNNNNNNNNNNNNNNNNNNNNNNNNNNNNNNNNNNNNNNNNNNNNNNNNNNNNNNNNNNNNNNNNNNNNNNNNNNNNNNNNNNNNNNNUAAAAUUUUAAUUUAAUCCUUUAAAAAUUGUAAAAAUAUAAAUAUUAAAAUGAAAAAAUUAUAUUUUUACCAUCGAAAAAAUUAUAUUUUUACCAUCAUAAAAAUAUAUAAUUUAACUUUGGUCUCUAAAAAUUUUCAAACUUCACCUUUAAUAAUAUAAUGAAAUAAGAAAUUAGGUCGCCUAUGGCCAGAAGAAUACUGAAUACCCAAUUUUCAGCCCUGAAAAUCUGAAACAUCCUACGCCGCCAUGAAAGCUGAAGCUUUCCUUUUCGUGUGUGUGUGUAUAUAUAUAUAUGCAUUAAUUUAUUUAUUUGUUGCUAGCCUUCCUGUCUCCUUUUUGUACGAGGUUUAUCAUGCACGAAGCAGACAAAGGUCAUGGUUUUAUUAUUAGAAAUUGAUAAAUUAAUUAAUAUAUGAUCUAAGAAAAAAAAGGAAAGUUGGAAUCCAACCAAAUCUUUCUUAAUUAUUUUGUUUUGGUUGAUGUAGACUAGAAAUGCCCAUUUGGGGUCCAUGCAUUUUCUUACAAACAAAAUCAUAUUUCCGAAGCUUCAGUGAUGGUUCACAGCCAUAGCAGCUCGCCAUUUGCGUAAGCAUAGCCUAUUGCUUACGUUCAUUUCAUUUCCCUUUGCUAAAAAAAGCACCCAAAUUUCUUUUAAUGCUGUAAAACCCAAGCUUUGUAAUUUUUUUUUAAUUUCGUCUAAUAAAACCUGUCAAAUGAGAAGAUCCUGGGUACAAAUUAGGCAUAUAAAUACAAGCUCUAAGGUUUUUUAGUUACCAACCUAAAACAUUACUUCUUGGUUAUCUAGCUUUGGUCUUUAAAAUAUGAAUUAAAUAUUACAUUGUUUUCGAGUUAAGAUAAAGAUAAAAUAUAAAAAUAAUAACUUUUAUAAAUUUGUUAACAUUUACAAAAAAUAAAAUAAAAUUUAUGUACAAAUAUUUAAUUAAUUUAUAAAAUAAGCAUUAUUUAGAAGACUUCUAAUUGAAAAAAAAUAUUAGUUAAAUAUUUGAAAAUUUGAUUUUUUUUCUAUUAGUAUUUAAUCAAUUUUAUAAUUUAUAAUUUUAUAUUUUUAACAUUUCUAAGUAGUAUAUGUUGGCACCAUUUUUUUGGAUAAAACGGGGUCGACUUGGAUUUUGAAAAAAGAAUGAAAACGGGAGUCGCCACCAAUCCUUUUUUGAUGAGGUGUGAUCGGGUCACCUCAAAAAGUGAUUGUUUUUAAUAAAUGAUUUAAUUUUAUUAAAACAACGAUUUUGGUCUACGAAAUUCAGAAAAAUGAGUUCGGGAGUCGGUUACGCACGAGGAAGGAUUAGCACCCUCGAUACGCCCAAAAUUGGUACCUAGUUGAUUAAUUAGUGUCUUAGUGUCGGAAAUUGAAAAUUUGAAGAGUUUUUUUUUAAUACGAUCAUUAAAAGAAACUCUGAUAACGUGAAUUGAAAGGUAAGAUUCUCUUGUUCCGAAGGAAUAUCACAUCCAGCACUUUAGGACACGAUACUCUAAACCAUCGAAACCAAGAUCACUUUAUAGUUUAAUGAAACCAUACUUUGAAGCUUUAAGAGAAUAUUUGGCUAUUUAGUCGAACGAGAAAUCGAAACCCAACACGUUAGGGCACGUUUUCUCGAUUUUCCAAACGCGAAAUAUUGCCUUAUUUAGAAAAAUACAAGUGAAAUUCCGGAGAGAUAUUCGAUUAUUUUGGACAAACGGGAGAUCGCAGCCCAGCACGAUAGGGCACUAUUCCCCGAACUGCCAAACAUCGAACACUUCUUUCGUUUUAAAAGGUUUUUAGAAAACGUGAAUGAAAUUUCGAAGGAAUCUUCGAUUGUUUAGAACAAAUGAAAAAGCACAACCCAACACGAUAGGGCACGAUCCUCAAAUCGCCAAACAUCGAACAUCCUUUGUAUUGAAAGGUUUUUAAUAAACAUGAGUGAAAACCUAAAGAAAUAUUCGAUUAUUUUGAACAAACGAGAAAUUGCAACCUAACAUGUUAGGGCACUAUUCCACGAAUUGCCAAAUAUCGAGUCUCGUCUUCAUGAUAAAUAAAAUAUAAUAAGUAUAAUAAACUAUAUUUAAAAUUAUUAUAAAAUAUGUAUAUAAAAAGAAAUAGUACAGAAAAAAUGAUUAUUAGUAAAACAAAAAUAAGAUAACAAGUAAUGUGAUACAUAUAAUGACAAUUUGUACAUAAAAUAAUUAGUUUUAUUUUAUAUAUAUAUAUAUAUGAAGCAUAUAACAAAUAAAUAAAUAAAUAAUAUAGUAAUGUGAAACUUAACUCCAAUUGAUUAAAUUAGAUGAAAAGAAAUAAGAAAUAAUGAAAAUGAUAUAAUAAGUAUAAUAAAUAAUAAUGUAAAAAAAAUAGUAUAAUAAAUAAUAAGAAAAUAAUUUUAAAAAUGAUAUAAAAAAAAUAGUAAUAAUAGAUUAAUAAUAAUACCAAAAAAAAAUUUGUUAUAGAAGUGUCUAAAAUAAACAAAAUAGGGCUUAAUUGAAUUAAAAAAUGAAAUUCUGGAGUGAAAACAGAACAAAAGGAUACAAGGGGACCAAAAUGCACACGUGGGUAAGGAGGGAGGGGUCUGGGUGUAAAUUUCCGGGGUAAUUUGAAAGCAUUUAAAGAAAACAAAAAAAGACUUGAUUGAACGUAGGCACCCAGGACAGGGACUAAUCGCGAAAAUUUCCCAUUUAAAAGAAAUGUGCACAUUUCCAUCCCUUGAAUGCACGGUCAGGUUUUUCCCUUCCCUAGGCUCUACUUUUGAGGGGAAAAAAACAAAUGAAGCUUACUUUUUUAUUUUUUUUUUAUUUUUAAAACAUUGAACACCCCUUUUUGAAAAAAAAAAAAAAUUACCCAUCAUCUCUCUUAUUUUCCUUAAAGAAAAACAGAGAGAAAGCUCUCAAAUUUUCUCUUAGGCCUGUGCCACCCUCAUCGGAGAUCCGGCUAGCCGAGGUCGUGAGUUCGUCGGUAAGUCCCCUCUCUCCCUCUCUUGUUUUUUUAAAAAAAACCGUUUUAAAAAAAUUUGAAAAGGAAACAGAACAAACGAAGUCCAAAUCAAGAGAAAAUUCGAAAAGAGAAAAAAAAAUGAAAAAUCACCUUUCAAAACUUAGUUCCGAUUCUUGAUUUACUCUUGAACUUUGUAUUAUCUCCGAAAAAAAAUAUAUAUAUCCCCCCAAAAUACAAUCGAUUCCUCUCUAAAAAUCCCCCCUAAAAUACAAUCCCUUCUCCCAUCGAAAUAUCAAAAAAUCCCCCCUGUUACAAAUGAUAGAUUUCGGCUUUUAAAGCCAAUAUAUUUUUUUCGUUCCUUUUGUUUAUUACUUCCCCCAUCAUUCGCAUGCUUUCUUUGCUGUUGUGUUUGUUCUUGUUGCAGGUGGUGGGCACGGUGGAGUGUCAGACGCGUGGGGCGUGGUGGCCAAGGCUGAGGGGCAUGGUGGCCGACAUGGUGGCAUGGAGAGCUGGAGGUGUGGCAGAUGAGGAGGCCAGCGGCACACAUGCUUAGGGGAGGCAAAUAGGGUUUGCUUCUGCCGAAAAUGUUAAAGUCAUAUGGGCUAGGGUUUUUUAAUUUUGGGCCCAUUUGUGAUUGGGUUAUUAUUUGUAUUUUAUGGACUAUUUGUGUUUGGAUUUUGGGCUUCCGAGUUUUGGGCCCCGGGCAAAAUUGGGUUUCUACAGUAUAAUAAUUAAAUAGUUUCGAAUUCCACUAAAAAAUGAUUGUAUUGAUUUUUAUUUUUGAUUUUUAAUUAAAUAGUAUUUAUUAUUAUUUUUUAUUUUCUAUUUUUAAAUUGAUUGUAUUGAUUUUUUUUUGAAUUUUUUUAUCUUAUACGUAUACUGGUG